AGCGAACGCUGGCGGCAGGCCUAACACAUGCAAGUCGAACGAAGUCUUCGGACUUAGUGGCGGACGGGUGAGUAACACGUGGGAACGUACCUUUUGGUUCGGAACAACUCAGGGAAACUUGAGCUAAUACCGGAUGAGCCCUUAGGGGGAAAGAUUUAUCGCCGAAAGAGCGGCCCGCGUUAGAUUAGCUAGUUGGUGAGGUAAAGGCUCACCAAGGCUACGAUCUAUAGCUGGUCUGAGAGGAUAAUCAGCCACACUGGGACUGAGACACGGCCCAGACUCCUACGGGAGGCAGCAGUGGGGAAUCUUGCGCAAUGGGCGAAAGCCUGACGCAGCCAUGCCGCGUGAAUGAUGAAGGUCUUAGGAUUGUAAAAUUCUUUUACCAGGGACGAUAAUGACGGUACCUGGAGAAAAGGCCCCGGCUAACUUCGUGCCAGCCGCCGCAGUAACAC
rnacentral:rRNA from 1 species